UCUGGACCUACACCUGGACCAGGACCACAUGGAUCAACAGACAGGACCAGAAGAACCAGAGGCAGUACAGCUAGGUGACUCCUUUGCCAAGCAUUCAAUGCUUUUCAGCUGGACCCAGACAGGCUUGGUGGAGUCCGCCAAGCCCACGCUGGA